UUUAGAAUUCCAAACAUGUUUCCCGUAUUGUCACUGUCUUUACUUUUACAUUUUACUCUUUUUGGUUUCCAUGAAAAGUUGAUCAAGUAACAAAUGCUGCAUGUGGCUUACUCUGGAUUUUUCUCAAAGCCCUCUGUGCACAUGGAAGAGCUGGAUGAAUUGGGUCACACAAGGAACAUCUGGGCUCUACAGUUUAUUUUAUUUAAUUUUUUUUCCUCCCAAAGUAGGAGUUCUUCAC